AGUGAACGCUGGCGGUAGGCCUAACACAUGCAAGUCGAACGGCAGCACAGUAAGAGCUUGCUCUUACGGGUGGCGAGUGGCGGACGGGUGAGGAAUACAUCGGAAUCUACUUUUUCGUGGGGGAUAAUGUAGGGAAACUUACGCUAAUACCGCAUACGACCUACGGGUGAAAGCAGGGGAUCUUCGGACCUUGCGCGAUUGAAUGAGCCGAUGCCGGAUUAGCUAGUUGGCGGGGUAAAGGCCCACCAAGGCGACGAUCCGUAGCUGGUCUGAGAGGAUGAUCCACCAACAUGGAACUGAGACACGGUCCCAACCCCCACGGGGGGGAGCCAGUGGGGAAAUUUGACCAUGGGCGCAAAGCUUAUCCAAGCCAACCGGCUUGGUUGAGAAGGCCUUUCGGUUUUAAAACCCCUUUUUUUGGAAAGAAAAGCAGCAGGUUAAUACCCCGCUGCUCUGACGGUACCCAAAGAAUAAGCACCGGCUAACUUCGUG
rnacentral:rRNA from 1 species